rnacentral:rRNA from 1 species
CGUCGUGGAUGGCCAAAUUGUAGUAUAUUCCAACUUUGCAAGUAGGAGCUGGAGAUGGCGGCUCAUCUUUUUUUCAAGUGUAGAUGCACAAGGCGGAUAUUUCUCGAAAAAAAGAAUUGGCUUGGUCUAAAACACAUCAACUUGGACAACUGGAGCAACUUUAAGUCGGUCAAAGAUUGAUGGUACUACAUGGUAAAUGCCAACGUUGAUGUGAGGAAAGGUAUCUCACCCAUGGUUAUGUUGGCUUCACAAAAGAUUUGGAACGAGAGAAAUGCAAGAGUCUUCAAGGGAGUAGCGUCCAUGCCCGGUGUAAUAGCAAGUAGGAUUGAGGAGGAGUCCACGCUUUUGGGCAUAUCGGGAACUAAAUGCUACUCCCACAUGAGUCAUUGGGAUUCCCCCAAGAGGAAGGGUGAAUCAGCAAACAUCAAGUAUCCCUCUCAGUUCGAGAACCAAGGUUUAUCAAACUAG